ensembl:lncRNA
GUCAUUUCCUCUGUGGUGUUGAAGAGCAGCAGAGGGUUGAGAAAGGACAUCAAUGUCACCCUAAAAUUCUACCCUAGUGUUCACACACUGAGAGGCACUUAAGAUUCACCUAAGAACUACUCAAGUGUGCACACUUGGACUCCACCACAAAGAAAAGUAAAUCAAAGCAGACAUGGCCUCAGGAGUUUGGAGACUGACUCAUCCCUGCUUGCCCAGUACUCUGCACCCGUCGUGGACAAAUGUGAACAUGAGCAGUUGCAAUGAUGCUGAGUGAAGCUGGGGCUCUUCUCAUCAGGACCCGCUGAGUCAGCACAGGGCAUCAAUCACAUCAGGACCCGCUGAGUCAGCACAGGGCAUCAAUCCCAUCAGGACCCGCUGAGUCAGCACAGGGCAUCAAUCACAUCAGGACCCGCUGAGUCAGCACAGGGCAUCCCAUCA